rnacentral:rRNA from 1 species
CAGCAGCCACGGUAAUACGUAGGGUGCGAGCGUCAAUCGGAAUUACUGGGCGUAAAGCGUGCGCAGGCGGUUUUGUAAGACAGGCGUGAAAUCCCCGGGCUCAACCUGGGAAUGGCGCUUGUGACUGCAAAGCUAGAGUGCGGCAGAGGGGGAUGGAAUCCCGCGUGUAGCAGUGAAAUGCGUAGAUAUGCGGAGGAACACCGAUGGCGAAGGCAAUCCCCUGGGCCUGCACUGACGCUCAUGCACGAAAGCGUGGGGAGCAAACAGGAUUAGAGACCCGAGUAGUCCCUGUCUCUUAUAC